UGUGUAAGCGAAGCUAUAUGUGGAGCGGUGAAAGGCUCAGUAACGGGCGAUUUAUUUAAUCUCCUGGGACGGACAACAUCGGGAAACUGAUGGGAAAACGUCUAAGUUGCAGUUUUGUUAUUGCGACGUAAACGGUAAUCGUGCAGGAGAGUAAGAUGCCAUCCUAUCAGUUAGUAAGUAGGGUAAGGGCCUACUUAGACGAAGACGGGUACGGGGAAUGAGGGUUUGAUUCCGGAGAGGGAGC
rnacentral:rRNA from 1 species